AGAUCCCGUGGGCCAUUGGUGCGACAAGUGGCAAUUGUACGAGAGAUAGGUUCCCAAUUUUUUCAUGUUUUAUUUUUUUGAUCGUCACAUUUGAACAUUGUAUUUGUCUGCCAGAACAUUCUCUAUUUGUUUGAUCGUCACAUUUGAACAAUUUGAUGUAAUUUGGGUUAUUGUUUUAUUUCCGUGGUGUUUGCACAUUGAUAUUUGAUCAAUUUGCUUUUAUAUUGUCUGAAAUGUAUGAACUGUAUCCAGUGUCGAUUUUAACUGUCGGACUGUCAAUUUAUAUUAGCGGUACUAGUUUUACGCAACCGGCAGAACAUAAUCCGCAAACUGACC
rnacentral:lncRNA from 1 species